UCUCCCUUUCCUUCUUUUUCUUCCUCGGGCCGUCACCGCCCGGACCACGAUCUCUCCAUUACUGCGGAAAUCACCAGACUAAAUCGCCCAAUUCCCUUAACCCUCUUGAUCACCAACCACAAUCUCUACUUCAUGCUUAGUGGUGGAGGAGACUCAAACCUCAAACUCUGAUCUGUGAGGGAGUGUUAUACCAACUCUCCAAUGUGGAGAUGGCAGAGAAUGAAGUUGUAGGUUUGGAGCUUCAGAAGUAGCUAGAGGCUGCAGGUCCUAAUUUAGCAUUUCAAGCACAAAGGUUGAUCAAACAUAAUCAAAAUUUGAAUCUUGUCAUCUACGCAGACACUAGAUUGCACUUUAAAGCUGCAGGAGGUAUGGGUGUUUCCACAACACCCAUUUAUUUCUAUUUUUAGUGACCAUCUACAUAAUCUGAUGAAGUGUGUGGUUUUCUCUUGUUCCUCAGUCUCAUGUUUGUACACUCUAUUUUUGUAAUUGUUCAAGAUUUUGGUUGAGAGGAACCCAUCCGUGAUUCAAGGUAUGUUUAACUAUUUGUUUUAUUAUUAUUUUUGGUAUUUUUCA